AUCAAAUGAAUACCUUGUCCUUCCACCUGGAAACUGAAAGUGGGAUGUGUCAAAAAAAAAAAGCCUUCUGUUUUUUUCUUCUUUUAACAUUUUAACUUCAGCAAAAACUGCCUGAAGGGAAAGCUUUGAAGGUAAAACAGGUUCAAAACUUCUGUCAUUCAUGUGAGGAAUACAAGCUGCCAGCCCUUUAAACAGCAGUCUCUCGCUGUCCUUGCUUGAAGAAACAGUCAAGAGUAGAUUUUACAAAGAGCUGACGGCACAAGUUUUGAAAUAACACUCUAAUCAUAUCCAGAACGACCAAAACAGGGGCAGUAGAGGCUGU